rnacentral:rRNA from 1 species
AUUGAACGCUGGCGGCAUGCUUUACACAUGCAAGUCGAACGGUAACAGGUUAAGCUGACGAGUGGCGAACGGGUGAGUAAUGCAUCGGAACGUGCCCGAUCGUGGGGGAUAACGCAGCGAAAGCUGCGCUAAUACCGCAUACGAUCUGAGGAUGAAAGCGGGGGACCGUAAGGCCUCGCGCGAUCGGAGCGGCCGAUGGCAGAUUAGGUAGUUGGUGGGGUAAAGGCUCACCAGGCCAACGAUCUGUAGCUGGUCUGAGAGGACGGCCAGCCACACUGGGACUGAGACACGGCCCAGACUCCUACGGGAGGCAGCAGUGGGGAAUUUUGGACAAUGGGCGAAAGCCUGAUCCAGCAAUGCCGCGUGCAGGAAGAAGGCCUUCGGGUUGUAAACUGCUUUUGUACGGAGCGAAAAGGCUCUCUCUAAUACAGGGGGCUCAUGACGGUACCGUAAGAAUAAGCACCGGCUAACUACGUGCCAGCCGCCGCGGUAA